AAAAUUUCAGCAAUUUUAUUAUGGGGUAUGUAUGUAUGUGUGUUUAGUAUUCUGCUUGGGGUUCUGAUUUUGAAUCUCUAUGGUUACAGUUUUAAUCCAGCUUGGAAACGUGUUAUUUCUUCAGAUAUUUUUUCAAUCCUCCUCGCCCCUUAAUUUUUUUUCUCCUUGGGACUCUAAUUUACACAAGACUACUUGAUAGUAUCCCACAUUUCAGUUGCCAGGUUUAUUGUUUUGGUCCCUUCUCUAUGUGCUGUUUGUAUAGUUUUUAUUGCUGUAUCUUCAGACUUACUGAUCUGUUGUACUGCAGUGUGUACAUGCUCUUCCUCCUGUCCAGUGUUUUCACUUCAAAUAUUGAAUUUCCCAUUUCUAGAAACUCCCAACUUUUUUAUGUCUCAUUUUCCUUAUGUUCCUGUUCCUUUAUAUUCUUGAACACCUUUGUGAUACCUGUUGUUAAGGUCUUUAUCUGCUAAUCCUGAGGUCUCUCUGAUUUGUGUCAAUUUUUUUUCUCUUCUGGUUAUGGGUCAUAUUUUCUUAUUUGCACAUGUGGUAAUUUUGGAUUGGAAACUGGACAUUGUGAAUUUAGUUUCUAAGUGCUUAAUUUUCGUUAUUGCUUUAAAGAGUGUUGGGUUUUGAUCUGGCACAAAGUGAAAUGAUUGUGGACUUCAAGGCUUGGUUUUCAUGGUCCAGAGGAGCCUGUGCUCUAGACCUAAUUUAAGAUUAUUACUAAGGCGUGAUCUUUCUUAGGACUCUACCCAAUGCGCUGCAUAUUCUGAAGUUGUACUCUGGGUCUCAGGCACAUGAACUCUUCCCACUCCUCUGAGUUCUAAGAAUUGUGUGGUCUAUUGGUUUCUGGUCAUGAAGCUGUGCCUUUUAUUCAUGUAGGUUAGGACUUGGUCAGACUCUAGGAGACAUUUCUGUAGAUCUGAGGCGCUUGCUCUGAGCAGCUCCCUCUUCUCCAGAACUCUGCUCAUUAGGUUCUAGCUUAGCAUUCCUGGACUCUGACCUCUGUGUCUUCAACUUGACCACUAGACCCUGGAUUGUCUCCUUGCCCUUUGGCCUGAAAGUUGCUCCUAGGCAGUAAGCUGGAGCAGCUGGUGCUCCCCUCACCUGUUUCCCUCACCCAAACACUGUCUUUGUCCUAUGUCCAUAAGCAUUUGUUUCAUGUAUAUUGUGUGGUUUCCUAGUUGUUUAGGGAAACUAAUUUCUAGGGAAAUUCUUACAGCCAUUACUCAUUCAUUUGUGGAAGGCAGUGGAAAUCUCCCCGUUUUUGAACUCACUUGUCAAUGAAAACCUGUGAAUCCCCUGGUUUCUAGUUCUCACAUUGGCUUGCUGAAUUUUCUAUUUGGGAUGGAUGAGUAUUUGACGGUAAUUUUUGGGUUACCUGGCUCAUAGGAUCAUAACAACUCCCUUUUUUCUUGCCUAUGCUGGUCCCACACAGGUAUUCUAGGUAUGAAGAGUUUGGCCCUAGGGUUUGAGGGACUACCUUAAUGUUGUCUGGGGGUCUCAUUUUCUAUCCCAGUUUGCUUUGCUUUUGUGAAAGGAUUAAAAACCAUUGUGGUUGCUAUUGCUCUUACCCUAACCAGAACUCUCUAUCUUUUAAAUUACCUUUCCAUUCAUAUCACUUGGGCGUGGCCCUUGAAGAUUGACAGUGUGGUAUUUCCAAUUGAUUAGCCUAUUUUGUGGUAACAAAAUUUGAGGGAUUUUGCUUUUACCCGAGGAAUAGUUAACACUUUAGCACUCUAAGUAUAAACUAUUACGGGUGGUAAUUUUACUUACCUCCAGAUUACCUUAAUUGAUUCUCUGUGGUGUAAGCCACAAACAGAGCUUAUGGCCAGGAGCCCACUAACCUACCACCAACCCACUGUGUGACACAGGACUAAUUUCUUCUCAUUGUUGAUGGUAGCAGACACCAUAAGGAAGACCAGGCCUGUCCUUGGGGGGAGCACAGAGCUUGUUAGGGAAGGCAGACAUGUAAGAAGAGCUAACUAGAACUAAGGGGUAGUUUUUAUCCCCUGAGAAGUAUAUACAAAGGUGCCUUCUUGGGUCUUUUCUCAUCUGAAUAAACAGAAGCACAGUUCUCAUACUGUUGUCCAAAGGCUUGGAUUGUACAGGAUGACAUGGAGGCUGAGGGGCAGGGCUGUGGCCUCUAUAUCCUUACUUCAAGCACAGUCGAUCCACCUUUUCCGAUUUUAUACAUUAUGAUCUAAUAUUUAUUUCAAAACAGGGGUUUUGCUGCUGAAAAAUGAAGGAUGAGCAGGUAGAAGAACAGGGGUCCACAUUUCCUUGUGCAUGCAGCCUCCUGCGCUCCCCCUCACAGGAAGAACAACAAAUAUUCAUGAACAAGAAGCCACUGAGCAAAUCCUAGAAGACAGGAAUGUGGCUGAAGCACCCCCUGCCCGACCAAAGAGACCAACUCCUUGUACCAGAAGGAUAAGCUGGAAGGCUACAUGCUGACUGCAUGGCCCCCACCCAGGUUGACUCAACACCACGUCCAACUUCUGUUUUUCCAGGGGGAAAGGAGCACAGGGGUGACAUCCAGUCACUCAGCGCUGUAAGUCAUGGCCUCGUGGGAUCCCUCAUUCUGGGCUCUGCCCCAUGGGGACUGCAGGCACAUCUGUGGGUUUCAACUACUGGGAAUCUGAUGGUGACUAAGUGGGAUUCUUAAGUGGUCAACACCACAGGGGAGGCACGGUCCACCUCCCGGUCACCAGGUCCAAGUGAACCCAACUGCCCUCUUCCUCCUCCUCUAAGUCCGAGUCUAUGCCAAUGGCGUGAAUAAAUCAUUGGUCCCAAGUGAGAUAGAAUCGUCAUGCCCAUGCACUGGGUGGGCUUCCCGGAACCGGCACUGUGUUAUUAACAGACCAAGUUCCUAGCUGCAGAGCCCAAGCAGUAGUCCCAACCAGUAUCUCUGCUCAUCUACAGCACCAAGCUGGGGGUCCAGUCUGCCCCAGGGAAUGCUCUACAGUGCAGUUCUGCCAGCUCUUGAACCUGGUCUGCCCCCACCCAGGCAGAAAGGCUGAGUCACAGCCCCACUUGCUGCAGUUCCUGGCUCUUGGUCUCUCAUCCAGAAAGCCAAUUUACAGACUCCUGUAGAGAGCCCAGUCCUGACUGUAGGAAGCCUGACCGGAGAAUCCAGGUCACAGUGACACCCACUAGCUUCACUUGGGCAGAGAACUCAAGUCAGCAGUCCUACCUGCUGUUCUCACCCAGUGGAAUACCCUCUAUGCUCAAAACUCAAACAGUUGCUUCACUAAAAAACAGACCCUAACAGCAGCCACACCUGUCCAAGGACCAGGAAUGACCAGAAACCCAACUGCGCUGACCGGUCAAACUGUCUGCCAAAGUGAGCCUGCAACGUUUGGAAGAAGGGACCACUUAACUCCAAUGCAGAUACCAACCCGAGGAUCACAGAAAGUCAGGUAAAUGUGACACCACCAAAUGAAACUAAUAGAGCUCUACAAUGGACUCUAAAGACAGGAAGACCUAUGAACUGCCAAGAGGCCCUAAAUAAACAGGGCUACAAAAGACAUGUCAGAAUCAUCAAAAGUCAAAGAAUUUUAAGAGCAGCUAGAAAAAAAAAAGGUUACAUAUAAGGGAACCCCCAUAAGACUGUGAGAUUUCUCAAUAGAAGCUUUUCAGGCCAGAAGAAAAUGGGAUGACACAAAAUACUCAAAGCAAGAAAAACUAUUAACCAAGACUACUCUACCAGGCAAAAGUGUCCUUCAGCAAUGGAUAGACUUUCUUGGACAAACAAAAGCAGAGGGAACUCAUCACCGCUACAUCUGCCUUACAAGAAAUGCUAAAGGGAGUUGAGUAUAAAUAAAAGGAUGCUCAUUAACACUAUACAAGGCAGCAUAAAACUUACUGGUAAUGAUAAAUAAAGUUGGAUUCUGUAAUAUGGUGAUGUUAGUGCAUAAUUCACUUCUAGCUCUAGUUUAAAAGAUAAUGUAGUAAGAAAUAACCAUUGUAGUUAAAUAACCAUAAUUACAAUAACCUAUUAGUUACACAUUAUAAAAUAUAUAAAUUGUAACAUCAAUAACCUAAAAUGUGAGGGGGAGAAGUGUUCAGAUGUUAUUUUAAAACAGAGUGUUUUAAAAUGUCUUAUGUAAACCUUAUAGCCACAAGGGAAAAACCUGUGGUAAUAUUAGACCAAAGAACAUGACAAGUCAAAGCAUACUGAUACCAUAAAACUUCAAAACACAAAAAAAAAGAAGGAACAAUGUAUCAAGAAAACCACAAGAAAAUAAACAAAAUGGCAAUUGUGUAAGGCCUUAUUAAUUAAUACUUACUUCAAAUGUAAAUGGUUUAAACUCUCCCGGGGAGACAACACCUGGUUGAAUGAAUAAAAAAAAACCAAAACACAAGAUCCAACAAUAUGCUU